rnacentral:sRNA from 1 species
UAUAGCUAGGGUUUUGCUCAUAAACGCUAGCACCUCGCUCCCUCACUCCCACAACGCAUCUCCCAUUUCUCAUCCGCCGGUUCUCAUCGGAGGACCUCCAACAAAUAUCGCAAGGUUUUCCAGUCUCGCUUCGCCGCCAUGAGAGCCAAGUGGAAGAAGAAGAGGAUGAGGAGGUUGAAGAGGAAGCGCCGAAAGAUGAGGCAGAGAUCCAAGUGAGAGCAGCAGCUGAGUGUAGCUGUUCACAUAGGGGUUCUCGUGUCCUUUUGGAUUUUAUCAGACUUAGCGGUUUGUUUAGAAUUAAUGUGAAACCUUUGGCGUUCUUAUCUGUUUAUCUUUGCUGCAUUUCUUAAUAUUUAAAUGGAAUUUGACUGCUUUUUAUGAUUGCUUUGGUUUGAUUAAAGUGUGGUUUUACUUGUUGUUUGAGUUGUUUAUGUUUUGCAUUGUGGAUUAUCUGAGUAGAAUGUUAAAUUUUGGGGUUGAUUUCAAAUUGUUUAGUUAAAUUUAGGAACCAUGAAAACCCAU